UUACUUUGAGCCUUUGAGUUAGGAGGUAUACCAGUCUCUUUGUAGUUUGCUCUUAAUACACUCUUCCCUUGGCCAUGAUGAGAUGUUUAAGUCUUUCCACUUAUCAGUUUUUAGUUCCACUUGAAGCGAUGCAUAUUCGAAUACAUUUUCUAGUCCUUUGAGCUGUUGAAUGAAUAAAUGAAAAAGUAUUAGCAUCACAACUGAACAAUAACAGAAAUCAUGUUAUCAAAAGAUGGUGUAGUGGGACUAAUGACUAACCAUAGCGGUGAGGUCUUUGCGGCUCAUUCCUGGGCCUAGCGAGUCGAGCACCUGGAUGCAUCGCUGCCCGGCAUUUAUAACUGCUAGGUACCAAUGGAAGUGUUCAAUGUUAACUGGAAUGUAUAUCUGAAAAUAGGGUUUUUGUUAGUUUAGGUCCCAUCUAUACAAACAUUUAUAUUGAACUAAGACUCACCAUAUCAUGUUCCAAAUAAGUUAUAGCUCUGUUUAAUACCCAUCUUGGUGCGUCAUCUCGUAUAGAACUAAAUUCCUUUAUCAUCUUAGAGAUGCAUGCACUCUCUAAGAACACACUUCCACCUGACCUCAUCUGUAGAUGCUCUUUAGCACUUAUGCAAUGUAUGUAUGCGUCUAUGAUCUGCAAUAUGAAGUUCACACCUUAGUGAGAGGAGAGAAUAGAAACUCAUGUUAAAAUAGCAUAGUCUUGUCUGAAAGCUACAUAUACUUACUUCGUCGCCAAGAAAUUCUUCGGGGAGUAAUAGAUGUUCUAAGUGUCAUCUUUUGAGAUGUGAGUCGUCGAUGCUCACUAAAUUUCUUUUAUUGUUUGGUUCAGACAUGAUAUUUUCAAUCACGGACCAAUCAUCGCCGGUGCAGACGUAAUCUAUCAUGAUGUAAGUAACAACAUUUAUUAAAAACAAAGAAAAUAAAUGUAGCAAAAGCAGGGCAUAGAAAUUAAAUGUAGCAAAAAUAGGCAUAAUCUAUCAUGAUGUAAGUAACAAAAUUUAUUAAUGAUGACCACAAAAAUAAAUUUAGCAAAAGCAGGGCAUAGAAGGAUUUGUCCGUGCCUUCUGGAGCGACCACGUAGUCUUGUGCCUUCUUAGGUUUGUUAUGCAGUCGGAUAGGCUUCCCUGUCUGCACAGGCAUUGCCAGCUUGUGUACUAUAAUUUCUGCCCUUUCCCUGCCGGACGUUUGUUCUAAUUCUUCGUCCUUAGGGGCCUCCAUUUGUUCACUUGUUUCGUUGUCGGUUAAUUCCUGGGAGCAACAUUACAAAGAAUGAUCCGUAUGCAGGAUUAAUAAAGGAUUAAUAAUAUAAUUAAGAAUUAGAACUAUCUGGGACAUAUUUGGAGAAGAUGCCUGUGUCACUUCGGAGACUUCGGAAUCAGUGUCCUGCGUGCUCUUCUCAUUCUCCACUUCAUCUAUGUUGGCUAUUCCAUUUGAUUCUGCCAGCUUGCCCCCUAUAGUUUCUGCCCCUUCGGUGCCGAAUGUUUGUGCUAAUUUGUCUUCAUGAGCUGGCUGCAUUUGUUUACUUGUUUCGUUUAAGGUUAAUUCCUGAGAGCAACAUUACAAACAAUAAUCCAUAUGCAGGAUAUAAUUAGAAUUAUAACUAUUUGGGACAUAGUUGGAAAAUAAAAGACGCCUCUGUCACCUCGAAAUCAGUGGAUUGUGUGCUUUUCUUUUUCUCCACUCCAUAUUUGUCGGCUAUUCCAGUUGAAUCUGUCAGCUUGUCCCCUAUAGUUUCUGUCCCCUUGGUGCCGAAUGUUUGUGCUAAUUCCUCGUCCUGAUCUGGCUGCAUUUCUUCACUUGUUUUGUUGAAGGUUAAUUCCUGUAUGCAACAUUACAAAGAAUAAUCCGUAUGCAGGAUAUUAUAUAAUUAUAGUUAGAAUAAUCCUGGCUAUCAUGAUGUAAAGAAUUGUAUGUAUGAUAAUCUAGUACAAAAUACAUAUUAUUCCUGUAUGCUUGUCUUAGGGUAGCACCUGAUCAAUCUGCAUAUUUUCCGUAUCAUCCAUGAUUUCUUGAUCUUGUGAUGCCUUUGUUGACUCGUGGUUCAUAUCCUCGUCCUUGGGUCCCUUUUUGGUGUUUUCCUGAAAACCCAAGCAUUUAUUAUUAGCACGCAGUUAACAUUACUCUCAUUCUUAUUUCUACAUCACACCUGGAUGCACAUAUCUGCAUAUGUUCUUAACAUAGUGGUAUGAGGACAUUCUUUCCAAUUAAAUUUCAAUAAUACAAUAUUAUCCAGUAUUUAUAAAAGAGAAGAUAUUAUUCAAGUGAGUAAAGAAUUGUAUGUAUGAUAAUCUAGUACAAAAUACAUAUUAUUUCGUCCUGCCAGAAUAAGAAUAAUAAUGACAUGUGAAAAUAAAAAGCGCCUUUGUUGCAUUGGGGUUUGUAUGCUUGUCUUAGGGUAGCACCUGAUCAAUGUGCAUAUUUUCUGUAUCAUCCAUGAUUUCUUGAUCUUGUGAUGCCUUUGUUGACUCGUGGUUCAUAUCCUCGUCCUUGGGACCCUUGUUUGUGUUUUCCUGAAAACCCAAGCAUUUAUUAUUAGCACGCAGUUAACAUUAGUCUCAUUCUUAUUUCUACAUCAAAUCUGGAUGCACAUAUCUACAUAUGUUCUUAACAUAGUGGUAUGAGGACAUUCUUUCCAAUUAACUUUCAAUAUGUAUUUGUUUGUUUUAUUAUCCAGUCAACUUUUUGAGAGUCACUUCGGUGACUAUUCUCUCAAGUAAUCAGGUGGAUGCAGUAAUAUGAAUUUCCUUAGGCACACAGAGCAUCUUGGUAAUUUUGCGGGGGCAAACAAAGCAUGUUGAUUCACUUUGUUGGAUCCCCUCUAGUGACCAUAUUGCCUUCUAGAUGUGAAAUCGUGAAUAUUGUGUAAUCACAGAGAGAUAUCAUUACCACGAUGAUGGCAGAUUGAUCCGCAGAGCUCACCAGGGAUUGUGACGCAGACAUGGAGGAAGAUGGUAGUUCACCACGGAGAGAUGUGUACGGCAGGCUGGAGAGACCUGCGGUGGAGGAGGCCGGCGCGGUGGAGGGGUGUGAGGAUGCGGCUUGGGAGAGAGGAUGGAGAGGUGGAAGAAAACCCUACGGUGCAAAACUUGUUGGUUCUUUGUGCUCCUGAUCGAGAGAUCGUUAGUUGUAGGCAAUAUGUAAGGCGGAAAUCACAGCAAGGAUUUCCAUAGCGUGAGGAGGAAAGGAAUCGUGGUCGUUAUCUCAGGGCCGACACCUUUCCUUUGAUUUAUCUCAGGCCCUUUUUUUUGCUUUUUUAUACCCGACACAUAUACAGAAUUAAUGUAAUCAUUUUUCAAUAUUUCUUGCACGCUAGUAAUAUAGCCUGGUCUGGAAAAACUUCAUACAUAAUUUCUUAUAUGAAAGAAACCAUCAUCCAUAUACCACACCUGGGUUAACUGAACUACCUCGGUGGUAUUUGCAGGGCUGACCUGCAUGAGUACUCAUUGAGGAGCAAGAGUAUCUCAGGCCCCACGCUUUCCUCGUUUAUCUCAGGCCCAAUGUUUUUUUUUGUUUUUUUAUACCCCACACAUACAGAAUUAAAGGAGUUAUUUUCGUAAUACAUUUUUAUACAGAAUUAUUGGGUUCAGCUCAUCGGAAUGUUUCAUCGAUACUUUUGUGUGCUUUCUCUUACCUUUUUUUAUAUACAUAAAGUUUACCUCUCUGUGUAGAAAAAUAAUUCUUGUAUCAUUUGUCUUGCCAGCUAGUUAACGUUUGUCUUGCCAG
rnacentral:lncRNA from 1 species